rnacentral:rRNA from 1 species
AACGAACGCUGGCGGCAUGCCUAACACAUGCAAGUCGAACGAGACCUUCGGGUCUAGUGGCGCACGGGUGCGUAACGCGUGGGAAUCUACCCUUGGGUUCGGAAUAACAGUUAGAAAUGACUGCUAAUACCGGAUGAUGACGUAAGUCCAAAGAUUUAUCGCCCAAGGAUGAGCCCGCGUAAGAUUAGCUUGUUGGUGGGGUAAUGGCCUACCAAGGCGACGAUCUUUAUCUGGUCUGAGAGGAUGAUCAGCCACACUGGGACUGAGACACGGCCCAGACUCCUACGGGAGGCAGCAGUGGGGAAUAUUGAACAAUGGGCGAAAGCCUGAUCCAGCAAUGCCGCGUGAGUGAUGAAGGCCUUAGGGUUGUAAAGCUCUUUUACCAGGGAUGAUAAUGACAGUACCUGGAGAAUAAGCGCCGGCUAACUCCGUGCCAGCCGCCGCCGUAA